UCUGCCUGGCUUCUUCACUUUGCAUGUUUUCCAGGCUCAGUCGAGCACCAGCACGUAGCAACAGUUGCCGCCUCUUCACGCUUAGGUGCUCUUCCAUCAUCAGCAGCUCGAGUUUUGCUUUUCCCUUCAUUUGCUGACAGGCAUUUGGAUCGUUUCCACUUUCAGUUGUUAUGUACAAUGCGGCCACGAAGAUUCCUGUAUGAUCCUUAUGUGGACAGAUGUGCUUAAUUCUCCUGGAUAUACACCUAGGAGUGGAGUUGCUGAAUCAUAUGGAUAACUGCUGUAUCAACAUUUUGCUUUCUAGAAUUUAAUGGUAAUAGUCUUCAGGAAUCUGAAAUGGAACAUUCUAGUGAAUGGAAACCAGUAUCACUAGUGGCCGUCAAGUUUGACUAAAAAGUUCAGUGUCCCCAGCACCUAGACAAAGAGUGGUUACCUCUCUCCUUUGUGUACGAGCUCCUAGAUUUGAUCAGGUCAGGCUGAUGCUCUACCUAAUUUCUCAGGAAAACCACCAAAAAGAGUCAUUAGAACUUAAAGCCAAGACACGCAAAAAAUUCAUGUUAUAUUUGAAUCCUACUUACAAAAAAUUUUGACAUUUUACUGAGCUAACAACUGAGGAGGCUAACUUCAGGUUUUUGGAUCAUUUACCCAAUUGAAAAUAUUU